UUAUAUUGAUUGUGUCAUAUUGAAUGUCAAGUUGUUAACAUGGUCAUGUGUUUCUUUUAUCAGUUAAUCAUGUGCAAUUUUGUUCAGAGGUUAAAAGAAUCCAGAAAUUUAAUUCGCAUUUUGUCAGCAAAAUACUGAUUCAUAAUGUUAGAAAUGAAUUGUAUAUUAGAUUAAAACAGAUCUCUUACUAUGAGAAAGGGGGUUUCUGAUUGAAAAGAUGAUUACUUUUUAACAAAUGUACAUUUUUAAGAGGAGAUGUAAACUGAUUUAGAAUCCUUCUAACCGUAAAGCAUAUUUGUUGUUGAAAAAUAGAAAUUUAUUGUCAUAUUUUGACAUUUAAAUGUGAAUUACAUUUUGUUUUAUUAUUUGGCUUAUUUGUAUAGUGCUUUUACUUGAAAAAUAAUGUCAGAAUUACAACCAUUGAACAAUGUAGAGCCAGCGGUUUUACACGUGCAUAAUGUUUACUUAUGGAAAAACAUACAAGUGUUAGUUCAGAGAUAGUGCAAAUCUUGAUGGUUAUUUUAUGUGUACAUUUAUUUUUUGCAGUCAUUAAAUUUUGGUUUGAAGUUUU
rnacentral:sRNA from 1 species